rnacentral:rRNA from 1 species
AAGUAGUGCCUUCGGGUUGUAAAGGACUUUUGUCCGGGAGCAAAUGCCUGGUGCUAAUACGCAUUGGGGAGCUGAGAGUACCGGAAGAAUAAGCACCGGCUAACUACGUG